AUAUAACUCCAUACAGUUGGAAGGACAUUAGUAGCAUUUGUAGGAUUUUUAGCUGAGGUUGUUGCUCUGCUCACAUCCUGACUCAAACAUGACAACAAAAAAGAAAGGAGAGAACCAAGGAGAGAACCAAGGAAACAUUACAAUUGGCAAUAAUGAGACAGCAAGAUGAAAGGAAAGAUCCUGCUAUUGUUCGAGUCAAUUCACCUGGCAAUGAUUAUGAUUUAAACAUUGUUAAUAAACUAUUGUCUUUGUUGGUGUAUUGCUAUCAACACACACAUACAUACACAAACACACACAUAUACACACAUACACAAUACAACUUUGGAUAAGAUUAGGCAAGCUUUUGUGGAGAAAAAUGAAGUUAUAGGUGAAUCCAUGGCUGUUAUGUUUGAUAUUAGUGCUGUUGGAUAGGUUGACUCCAUGGUUGUCUAUUCAAUGUCUGAAAAGAUGCGGUACUCUAUCGUGAAUAGCAACUGCGAGCACUUUGUCACAGACCUACGAUACGGCAUUCCAGAGUCUCGACAGGUGGGUAUCCUGUGGCUUGUAUACUUCUGUUUGCAGGACUGCUUAAAGGGACAGUUCACCCUAAAAAGAAUACAUAUUUUUCCUCUAACCUGUAGUGCUUUUUAACGGUCUAGAUUGUUUUGGUGGGAGUUGCCCAGUGUGGGCAUAAUCUGUCAUGAAUCCAGCAUCCUGAGCUUGUUUUGCCUAUGUUUUGUUUGCUCUAACCUGAGGUUUGUUUUUCUGAGUUUCCCUCAAUACAUCCCGGCUGAUUCACCAAAUGCUUACACCUGCUGCUGUCUGCACACCUGGUCCUGCUUACCAUUGAGUUCCUCACCUGGAUUGUCACUCACACCUGCCUGGCUGUUGACUUCACUGCAGUACAUUUGGAUCAGCACAAAACCCUGCCACCUUCCAGCCCCACUCCCUGCCGACCAACUGGACCAAACCAUUUCCACAUUCUAUUCCAAAUAAAUACUCACCUUGUACAACUA